rnacentral:lncRNA from 1 species
UCACAAUUUUUGCAAAGGGGUUAGCCACUGAGAAGUCAUGUAUGGGGUUGACACGAUGACUUCUGAUUACUCUGUCAUCUGAAGUUCCAAAAUGAAAUUCAGCAUUUUUGGAGCCUAUUCCAUUCUGCCGCAGGCGCCGGCGCUGAUCAACAAACCAUUCAUUUUUGCGAAAUAAAUGUAGGGCAAACCUCAUUACCUUCAGCACCCCUGCUCUGACAACAAAGAACCUGGUGAAUAUAAUCUCCGGUAAGGUCCCUCGGUAGGAGUUCAAAGUAAUUUCUGAGAGAUGCAGAUCUAGGCAUUCGACGUGAUUGUUAUAUUGUAUCACAUUAUCCACCACUGGGCCUAAUCUUAUCUGCAAAAGAAGAAAAUGUGUUAGUGCCUACAUGCAGUUUUGAAUUGCCUAAAAAAAUGCAGUUUUGAACACUACUAUAGGCCUAUUUAGUUUGCAGGAUUUGUAAAAUGCACUAACAUGCCCUCUUCGAUCUGACAUGAUUAACAUGGGCAUUAACAUGCCAUCUUCGAUCUUCACAAGAGGUUGGAGUGGAUGAAAAGUACCCUAAGAAAACUAGUACAGAUGAAUCCAAAGGAGAAAUGCAUAUGGAUUGUAACCAUAUGGAUCAAGCAACCAAUAUGGGGGGCAUGUAUGUACUGAAAUCCUCCAAAAGAAUCCUUCAGAAAUCGUAGUACACUGUCAUUGUAAACUUGGAAAAAGGUGUCACAAAUUGAACUCCCUUAUGGUUAAUAUUUAACAGGAAAGGAACAUCACCUCGAUAUAUAGCUUCUCCAGGCACGGAAAGCAUCUCAGGAAACUAACAACUUGCUCCAGGUUGGGGCCGAUAGAUUCUAG